GGGUUGUGAGGUUAAGCGACUAAGCGUACACGGUGGAUGCCCUGGCAGUCAGAGGCGAUGAAGGACGUGCUAAUCUGCGAUAAGCGCCGGUAAGGUGAUAUGAACCGUUAUAACCGGCGAUUUCCGAAUGGGGAAACCCAGUGUGACUCGUCACACUAUCAUUAACUGAAUCCAUAGGUUAAUGAGGCGAACCGGGGGAACUGAAACAUCUAAGUACCCCGAGGAAAAGAAAUCAACCGAGAUUCCCCCAGUAGCGGCGAGCGAACGGGGAGGAGCCCAGAGCCUGAAUCAGCAUGUGUGUUAGUGGAAGCGUCUGGAAAGGCGCGCGAUACAGGGUGACAGCCCCGUACACAAAAGCGCAUGUGCUGUGAGCUCGAUGAGUAGGGCGGGACACGUGGUAUCCUGUCUGAAUAUGGGGGGACCAUCCUCCAAGGCUAAAUACUCCUGACUGACCGAUAGUGAACCAGUACCGUGAGGGAAAGGCGAAAAGAACCCCGGCGAGGGGAGUGAAAAAGAACCUGAAACCGUGUACGUACAAGCAGUGGGAGCACCCUUUGGGGUGUGACUGCGUACCUUUUGUAUAAUGGGUCAGCGACUUAUAUUCUGUAGCAAGGUUAACCGAAUAGGGGAGCCGGAGGGAAACCGAGUCUUAAUUGGGCGUUAAGUUGCAGGGUAUAGACCCGAAACCCGGUGAUCUAGCCAUGGGCAGGUUGAAGGUUGGGUAACACUAACUGGAGGACCGAACCGACUAAUGUUGAAAAAUUAGCGGAUGACCUGUGGCUGGGGGUGAAAGGCCAAUCAAACCGGGAGAUAGCUGGUUCUCCCCGAAAGCUAUUUAGGUAGCGCCUCGUGAAUUCAUCUCCGGGGGUAGAGCACUGUUUCGGCUAGGGGGCCAUCCCGGCUUACCAACCCGAUGCAAACUGCGAAUACCGGAGAAUGUUAUCACGGGAGACACACGGCGGGUGCUAACGUCCGUCGUGAAGAGGGAAACAACCCAGACCGCCAGCUAAGGUCCCAAAGUCAUGGUUAAGUGGGAAACGAUGUGGGAAGGCCCAGACAGCCAGGAUGUUGGCUUAGAAGCAGCCAUCAUUUAAAGAAAGCGUAAUAGCUCACUGGUCGAGUCGGCCUGCGCGGAAGAUGUAACGGGGCUAAACCAUGCAC
rnacentral:rRNA from 1 species